CAGCAGCCGCGGGAAUACGAAGGGUGCAAGCGUUAAUCGGAAUUAUUGGGCGUAAAGCGUGCGUAGGCGGUGAGUUAAGUCUGCUGUGAAAUCCCCGGGCUCAACCUGGGAAUGGCAGUGGAUACUGGCUCGCUAGAGUGUGUCAGAGGAUGGUGGAAUUCCCGGUGUAGCGGUGAAAUGCGUAGAGAUCGGGAGGAACAUCAGUGGCGAAGGCGGCCAUCUGGGACAACACUGACGCUGAGGCACGAAAGCGUGGGGAGCAAACAGGAUUAGAGACCCCCGUAGUCCCUGUCUCUUAUAA
rnacentral:rRNA from 1 species